CCGCAUCAUACAGGCCUUACAUGAAACCCGGAAACACACCACAAUACGUAAACCGCGAAAGUAACUACCCACCAUCAAUAUUACGAUCAAUACCGCAAGCCAUAAACAAUAGACUAUCCAACAUAUCAUCGGAUAAGCAAUCAUUUGAUUCAGCCAUUCCCCCAUAUCAAGAAGCACUACAAAAAAAAGCGGUUACGACUACAAGUUUGAUUACAAUCCCCAACCACUAAACGAUCUAGAAGCAGAAAUAUAAUAUGGUUCAACCCCCCAUACAACUCCAAUGUCAUCACCAACAUUGGAUACAAAUUUCUUCAAGCUAUCGACGAUUCCUUCCCUCCUAACCGCCCUCUACACAAGAUAUUUAAUCGAAACACUUUGAAAUUAAGCUGCAGCUGCAUGCCUAACGUUCAUUGUCUUGUCUCUGGUCAUACAAGACAAUACUCAACAAACAAAACAAAACUGAAACAACUAAGAAUCAAACGACUGAAAAGAGUAGUGAAUGCAAUUGCCGUAAGAAAGAUUCCUGUCCUCUCCCCAGUAAAUGCUUAACAAGCAGCAUUGUUUAUCAAGCAACUGUGACUAGAAACGAUACAAAAGAGGAAAAGACCAAUGUAGGGCAUACAGAAGGGGAAUUCAAAACAAGGUACAAUGGUCACACCAGUUCCUUCAGAAACUCCAGAUACAAACAUGCUACUGAACUAAGUAAAUAUGUCUGGCAUUUGAAAGAGUCUAGCGUAAAAUACUAAAUGGAGAAUUAUGAAAAAGUGUAAAAGUUACUCAAACAAAACCAAACGAUGCAACUUAUGCCUGCACGAAAAAUUUCCAAUUAUUUAUUAUCCUAAACUCAGCUCCAUGAACUCUAGAAAUUAACUAUUGUCAAAAUGUAGACACCGGAACAAAUUCCUGUUGAGCAA